rnacentral:tRNA from 1 species
AAAGAUUUAGUUUAAAUAAAACAUUAAUUUGUCAAAUUAAAAUUACUUUGAGUAAUCUUUU